rnacentral:rRNA from 1 species
UACGAAGGGGGCUAGCGUUAUCCGGAUUCACUGGGUUUAAAGGGUGCGUAGGUGGGCAGGUAAGUCAGUGGUGAAAUCUCUGGGCUUAACCCAGAAACUGCCGUUGAUACUAUCUGUCUUGAAUAUAGUGGAGGUGAGCGGAAUAUGUCAUGUAGCGGUGAAAUGCUUAGAUAUGACAUAGAACACCCAUUGCGAAGGCAGCUCGCUACACUAUUAUUGACACUGAGGCACGAAAGCGUGGGGAUCAAACAGG